ensembl:lncRNA
GCCCGGGCGCCCCGCGGCGCCGCCCCCUGGGCCAAUAGGCGCCCGGGCAGCGGCGCCGCGUGUGGCACGAGCAGGGAAACUCAGGGCGGGCGCAAUUGCAGCCCGGGGAAGGUGUCUGAGGUCGGGAGGCGUGAGAGCCCGGAGCCGGAGCCUGAAGUCCGACGGGAAGAUGGCGCUAAGAAUGCUGCAGAAGGCCGGCCGCGCGGCCGCCGCUGCUGCUGCAAGAGCCGGAGCCGGAGUCGGAGCCGGAACCGGAGCGGGGCUCCUGCGCAAUCUGAAAUUCUCUCUGGCAGUGAAUGUUUUCAAGAUUGGUUAUUGUUCUUCAGUUAAUCACAAGUACACUCCGAGGAGGGCAGUACUGUAUGUUCCUGGAAAUGAUGAGAAGAAAAUACAGAAAGUACCAUCACUGAAUGUAGACUGUGCUGUAUUAGACUGUGAAGAUGGUGUGGCUAUGAACAAAAAGGAGGAAGCAAGGCUGAGAAUAGUGAAGACUCUCGAGGAGUUUGAUUUGGGCCCUACUGAAAAGUGUGUAAGGAUCAACGCAGUCUCUAGUGGUCUUGCUGAGAAAGAUUUGGAGGUCCUGCUGCAAUCCCAGGUCCUCCCUUCCAGCCUGAUGCUGCCAAAGGUUGAAAAUCCUGAAGAAAUACGAUGGUUUUCAGACAAAUUUUUAUUCCACUUAAAAGGCCGAACACUUAUAGAACCAAUGAACUUAAUCCCUUUUGUGGAAACUGCCAUGGGUUUGCUCAAUUUUAAGGCUGUCUGCGAAGAAACAUUGAAGACUGGAUCUCGAGCUGGUCUUCAUCUAGAUGCAGUCGUUUUUGGAGGAGAGGAUUUCCGGGCUAGCAUAGGUGCAACAAGUAGUAAGGAAACUCAAGAUAUUCUCUAUGCCCGGCAAAAGAUUGUCGUUAUAGCAAAAGCCUUUGGUCUACAAGCCAUAGAUCUUGUAUAUAUCGACUUUCGAGAUGAAGAUGGACUCCGCAGGCAGUCAAGAGAGGGAGCCAUCAUGGGCUUUACUGGUAAGCAGGUGAUCCACCCAAACCAAAUUGCAGUGGUCCAAGAGCAGUUUUCUCCAACGAGUGAAAAAAUUAAGUGGGCCGAAGAACUGAUUUCAGCUUUUAAAGAACAUCAACAAUUAGGAAAGGGAGCCUUUACUUUCCAUGGGAGUAUGAUAGACAUGCCAUUACUGAAGCAGGCACAGAACAUUGUUACGCUUGCCACAGCCAUCAAGAAAAAAUGAUCUGCUAAAAGAAACUCUCCCCAGGCUAAAGGGUAUUGAAGCCGCCGAGGAUCAACUUGUGGUUGCCAGAGGACGCCAAUGAAGUUUGAAACACCAACAAUCAGAGAUUUUGUUUCUGUUCCUCAUUAAAUCAUGAGCUUUUGUGUCCAGACUCUGAACGACUGUUCUUUAAGAAAUUAACAGAAUGGGAAGUUUUAAACUCUGCACCAACCUUUUCAUGACCUACACAGCAGCAAUGCUGCUGCACUUAGACAAACACCACGGGGAAGGCUGUUCUGUUUAUUUAAAUUUGUAAAUAGAAAACAGUUGUUUUUUAGUUUCAUUUUUCCCCAGACCACCCCCUCCUUCUCCCCAUGUCCCUUUUGCAUAUGUCCUAUAAGGCCCCUACGACACCUCCCAACCAAGGGCUUCCCUGGUUCUCCCUGUUGAAUUGGCUAUUUUAAUAAUUUUCACUCAAAGAGGUUUCUGACAGAAACGAGGAUAUGAAUAAAAGUUGCAAAAUGAGCA